AUUGAACGCUGGCGGCAUGCCUUACACAUGCAAGUCGAACGGCAGCACGGGUGCUUGCACCUGGUGGCGAGUGGCGAACGGGUGAGUAAUACAUCGGAACAUGUCCUGUAGUGGGGGUAGGCCGGCGAAAGGCGGGUUAAUACCGCAUACGAUCUACGGAAGAAAGCGGGGGGCCUUCGGGCCUCGCGCUAUAGGGGUGGCCGAUGGCUGAUUAGCUAGUUGGUGGGGUAAAGGCCUACCAAGGCGACGAUCAGUAGCUGGUCUGAGAGGACGACCAGCCACACUGGGACUGAGACACGGCCCAGACUCCUACGGGAGGCAGCAGUGGGGAAUUUUGGACAAUGGGCGAAAGCCUGAUCCAGCAAUGCCGCGUGUGUGAAGAAGGCCUUCGGGUUGUAAAGCACUUUUGUCCGGAAAGAAAUCCUUGGCCCUAAUACGGUCGGGGGAUGACGGUACCGGAAGAAUAAGCACCGGCUAACUACGUG
rnacentral:rRNA from 1 species